GCCCUUCUGAAUCCAUACCAAGAUUUUGUCAAAUACCAAUUCAUCAGGGCUGAUAGAACUUCUAAAAUAAGUGAAGUA
rfam:Schistosoma curassoni strain Dakar, Senegal genome assembly, scaffold: SCTD_scaffold0003328